UACGUAGGGUGCGAGCGUUAAUCGGAAUUACUGGGCGUAAAGUGUGCGCAGGCGGCUUCGCAAGUCGAGUGUGAAAUCCCCGAGCUUAACUUGGGAAUUGCGCUCGAAACUACGGAGCUGGAGUGUGGCAGAGGAAGGUGGAAUUCCACGUGUAGCGGUGAAAUGCGUAGAGAUGUGGAGGAACACCGAUGGCGAAGGCAGCCCCCUGGGUUAACACUGACGCUCAGGCACGAAAGCGUGGGGAGCAAACAGG
rnacentral:rRNA from 1 species